AUAAGCAUAUCACUAAGCGGAGGAAAAGAAACUAACCAGGAUUCCCCCAGUAACGGCGAGUGAACGGGGAUUAGCCCAGCACCGAAGCCUGUGACCAAUUGGUUACUAGGCAAUGUGGUGUUUAGGUCAUCUCUUGGCAUUGUUGCUCCACCCUAAGUCCAGCAAUGAGUACGGCUUACUGGAAUGGCCCACAGAGGGUGAAAGGCCCGUGGGGGUGGAGACCAAAUGGACAAUAAUGCCCAGAGUAGACCUUGGAGUCGGGUUGUUUGUGAAUGCAGCCCAAAAUGGGUGGUAAACUCCAUCUAAGGCUAAAUACUGACACGAGUCCGAUAGCGAACAAGUACCGUGAGGGAAAGUUGAAAAGUACUUUGAAGAGAGGGUAAACAGUGCGUGAAACCGCUCAAAGGUAAACGGGUGGAGUUGAACUGUAAGCCUUGGGAAUUCAACUGGUGGGUAUUACAUGAGCUUGGGCAUAAUUGGUCGACUUUUGGAGUCUGCUUAGCUGUAGGCUCCCGUCCUUUAUUGGGCGGGGGUGUGCGAUGCGCUUAUCAAGUGCUGUACGCUUCAAAAGUUGUGGGCCUGCUCGCCAGUGCACUUUCCCUUGGUGUUCACCACGACCGGCGCUGCUGUCUGUCUACUUUGAUCAAACCGGUCUUGCCCAAUCCUUGUGGUUGAGCUUGAUCGGGAUGGCAGGUAGCUCAUUGAUUAAUUGUUGGCUUCGGCCGGCAAUUGGUCUUUGGGUGUAAUUAGCUGAUCAUUGUAGAUCUGUGCAGUGCACCGGAGAUGACGGCUAUGGUGUGUGCAUACGUGCUUUGCUUAUUGACAUUGUCGGGUCUGAUUGGUUUGUUUACUCAUUUCGGUGGGUCAACUAGUGGCUCGGCUUUGUUCGGUUUGCGGUGGCGUAUGUGACACCUUUAUGGGCCUAUAGUCUGUGGUGUUGCGGUAGACUAUCCACCUGACCCGUCUUGAAACACGGACCAAGGAGUUUAACAUGUGCGCGAGUCAUUGGGCGUUACGAAACCCAAAGGCGCAGUGAAAGUAAAGGCUCGGUUUGUCCGAGCUGUGGUGAGAUCCUAUCGUUUCUCGUGCCUGGUACCACCAAGCGUUUGAGCGAUAGGCGCAUCACCAGCCCGUCUCAUGGUGUAGUCAUAUAACUUGUUAUAUGCAGCACCGGGGCGGAGCUUGAGCGUACACGUUGAGACCCGAAAGAUGGUGAACUAUGCUUGCGCAGGUUGAAGCCAGAGGAAACUCUGGUGGAGGACCGUAGCGAUUCUGACGUGCAAAUCGAUCGUCUAACGUGAGUAUAGGGGCGAAAGACUAAUCGAACCAUCUAGUAGCUGGUUCCCUCCGAAGUUUCCCUCAGGAUAGCAU
rnacentral:rRNA from 1 species